ensembl:lncRNA
GACAGAAGAAUCUCAGUGCAUGACAGUGAGGAUGUUGGGCUGAUUAAAAAAAUGGGGAUGGGGAGCCCCUUGGUGCUCCAAGGAAAAGACAUGGGAAGGAGGGAGAGCUUGAGGGCUUUAACCUGCGCUAAGAGCCUGGAGAGAUGGCAGAGACACCGGCUGCAUUUGUCAUCUGGGGAGAGGAUGAGUCCUUCAGUGGGAGAAGUGAUUGUUUUUAACCUGAAUGCAGACAGCUGGCCAGAAGACACGUGCAGGAUGACUGGAGGCAAUGGGACAGAGUCAGUGCAGGAGACAGCACCGUCAACCAGAGCAGCAGUAGCUUUUUCUCAGGUGAAAAGUGAAAGGAUGUGAGGAAAUGGCCUCACAUUGCAUCAGUGAAGGCUUAGAUUAGAUGUCAGGAGGAAUUUCUUCAUGGAAAGUGUGGUUACACAUUGGUACUGGCUACCCAUGGAAGUAGUGGAGUUUUCAUCCCUGGAGAUAUUUAAGAGAUAUUGGGAUGUGGUGCUUAGGGACAUGGUUUAGUGGUGGACGCAGUAGUGUUAGGUGGUGGUUGGACUUGGUGAUCUUACAUGUCUUUUCCAACUGAAGUGAUCCUGUGAUGUGAGCACCAGGUCACAGUCUGGACAUCCCAUGUUGCUUAGGCUGAGUUUUCAAAGUGCCUUUUAUCCUUCUAAGGAGGAUUAAAAGAAGAACAAACAACAGUGAAUGUUAUGAUAGCUCAAUACAAGUAGUUAUAUGCAUCUACUGCUACACGUAAGCAACAAUGGAAAAUGUGGCAGGCUAAUUAACAGCAAUCAGGUAAAACCACGAGGAGUAAGCAAAGCAGUAACACAGGUUUGUCUGCAUAUAAAUCAGUGAACUCCUACUGAAUAGGGAAAUCCAUGAACACUCAGUAACAUGAGGCAGUUCCAGACUGGUGUGUGGGAGACACUAAAAUACUGUUUACAGAUAUUCUUAUCUACGGCUCCUCCCUGAUAGUCUUGAAUGUGGCACAGCCUCAGGAGAGGGAAUAAGUACUAAAAUCAGAAAAAAAUACUAUCAAUGAGGGAGGUCUGGAAGCUACCUCUGCUGAGUCAUGGUGGAUUGGUGCUGUUGAAAGGAGGUGAGAAGCACUGUGUUACAACUUUGCUUUUGCUUUCCCCCAUUAAUUCUUUGUCCUCCCCCACCAAAAUAAGAGUAAACCAAAAUUCCUCUAAAGAUUACUACUGACUGAAUCACGUUCCUGUUCAGCAUGACAGAAUUCCAAAGCCUCUACCACCCUUUGUCACAAUGGAAGAGAUGCUGCAAUGGGCAAAAGCAUUUUGUCAAAGCCCUUUGCCAGCAAAGUGGUAAUCAUAGCACAGGCACUAUCUGGCAUUUGAAAACAGUAGAAGUCCAAAUCCAAGAUUUUAUCUAUCUAUCUAUCUAUCUAUUUAUUUUGCUGGGGGGAGGAGAGGGUGGAGAUGGAGUUCAGAUGCAAUUAUACCACUUCAUCUUGACAACUGUAAAAGAAAUUGGGAAAACAAAGUAGCUAGCUGACAGACACAACUGUGAUUGGUACAAAAACUGGAUGGAUAUUACAAGAGAAGCCCAGAGAGAAGGAGCCAGCAGUCUCCUGCCUCCCGUACCAGCAUAAGCAAGAUCAAAAAAUUGUGGUACCUAGCUCAGAUAGUUUUCAGAAAGCAGAGUUUCAAAUAUUUCUGAUGCCCGUUUGCUCUUCCUCAUGAUUGCCUAGAUAAAGAGAAUACGCUGAAUUCACCCAUAUUUUGGACUCCACUGUAGAGUUCAUUAUGGUAGUUAGGGCAGUGAAUCUCACAAGAGAGGUGUUCUGCCUGACAGUCCUAUUUUUAACAAUAAAAUAAAUUAAUACAUUAGCAUAUUCCUUUGCUGAAUGGGUUCCUAUACCUUCAACACAUCUGCAUCAAACAUCCUUUCCUUUUAUCUCCAACUCAGCUCAGUUGGAAAUCCCAAUGGGAAGAUGGUUGAAAGGAGGUUGUAGUAACAUGGGGGUCAGCCUUUCCUCCUAGGUAACAGCAAUAGGGAAUGGCUCAAGUUGCAGCAGGCGAGGUUUGGAUUGGAUAUAAAGAAAAAUUUCUUCACAGGAUGAGUGGUGCUGCAGUGGCACAGGCUGCCCAGGGAGGUGGUGGAGUCACCGUCCCUGGAGGUGUUCCAGAGCCGUGUGGAUGUGGCACUGAGGGCAUGGCCAGUGGGCACGGUGGGGAUGGGCUGAUGGUUGGACUGGAUGAUCUUAAAUGUUUUUCCUAUGUUAAUGGUUUUAUGAUUCUACAAGGCAGUAAGUAUUCACCAAUCAGAAGGCAGGAGCUCUCCAGUCCUGGUAGCUUCAGAAAAAUAGGAGUGAGCAGAGAAACAGCUCUUGGUAACUUGCCAUUGCAAAGCGAUGACAUCCCUCCUUCCACUCCCCCUCCCCACCCCUGGGUAUUUUUUUUUUUCCUCCCUCUGCUCAACACAUUCAUGAAUAUUAUUUCUCACCUUAUCUUCAAAAUCAUCAAUUCUUAUCUGUGCUAAGAGGAAGGGGAUAAAAGCCAUAUUCAGCCUUAGGAAUACUCUCCCACCCGUCUGCUGUUUCAGUAUGAGUUGAAAAAGGAAGGAUGGGACAGAAUGCAAGAGCUUCAGGGAGGUUUUACCAAGACACACAGGAAAUUCUGUACAGGGUCUGCAGUCAUUCAAGAUAACUGGUUGUACAAGUCUGAAUGGGAAUAUUGCAAGUAAUUCUGAGGAAUCAGGAAAGAUGGGAAAAGAAAGAGGCCAGAGGCCUGGCAAUACCACACGAAUGCAAACCGUCAGCUGCACCAAACCCUUUUCACUCCUGGAGUCAAAAACAAUGCCCCAUUCUCUUACCUUCCUUUGGUCACAAAGUGGGACAAAGUACCUGCAUUUACCUACGUUUUUCGUGCUGGGGUUGGACUAGCAAAGACAGCUUCUUCAGAAGCCCAUCCAUCAGCUGCCUUCGGUUAGAAAGGAGCCUGAAGCUGAGAAAGAUUCCUUCUAAAUGAUGAGGCCACACCUUGAGUACUGUGUUCAGUUUUGGGCCCCUCACUGUAAGAAAGACAUCGAGGCCCUGGAGUGUGUCCAGAGGAGGGCAACAAAGCUGGUGAGGGGUCUGGAGCACAGACCUUAUGAGGGGUGGCUGAAGGAGCUGGGAUUGUUCAGUCUAGAGAAGAAGAGGCUCAGGGGAGACCUUAUUGCUCUCUAUAACUACCUGAAGGGAGGUUGUAGUGAGCUGGGGGUCAGCCUCUUCUCUCGUGUGACUAGUGAUAGUAUGAGAGGGAAUGGCUUCAAGCUGCGCCAGGGAAGGUUCAGACUGGACAUUAGGAAAUACUACUUCCCUGAAAGGGUGGUCAGGCACUGGAAUGGGCUGCCCAGAGGGAUGGUGGAGUCACCGAGCCUGGUGGUGUUCAAAGAGCGUUUGGAUGUUGUGUUGAGGGACAUGGUUUAGCAAGAACCAUUGGUGAUGGGUAAAUGUUUGGACUGGAUGAUCCUGUAGGUCUUUUCCAACCUUAGCGAUUCUAUGAUUCUAUGAUUCUAACCCUUCUUUCAUACAGCAAAACUGUUGAUUAAAACCGUGUGGAGGGUAUAAGGAAGACUGUUCAGUUUCUCUUUCUUGUCCCAGGGGAACAAGAUGACAGGGAAAUGGAGAAGAUGACAAUCUAUCUGAAUAAGAGUGGAGUGGGGAGGCGGAGGAACCAAUAGCCCCCAGAAUCUCACUAAUGAAACGCUCACUCCCACAUUGGCUGAUUUAAGAGUUCCUUAUGCUAAACUGCUUCACCCUCAGUUUGCCUUGCUAUUUCUUUCUAUUUUCUCUUCUCACCAUUGCUGUCUCUUUAUUGUAUGUUUGUAUUUUACUGCAUUUUUAAAUGUUAUAAUCAAAACCCAGGUUGCAGGUUUGUUGGCAUACAGAAGUUAUCAGGUAAUCUGUCCCUUCUACAAACACAUUUCACUCCAUCUUGUGUGCGUUAAGAAUCAAAUGGGAGUGUGGUUCAUUUUGAAUCUCCCCUUCCUUUGCCUCAAGACCAGAAUGUAUGAAAUUGCCCUGCUGACUUAUGGGUCAUAAAAAGGC